CACUAAGAAGCUAAAUAAGGUACCAGCGUUAGCCUUUUAAGCUAAAAAUUGGUGACUCCUGCCCACCCUUAGUGA
rnacentral:tRNA from 1 species